rnacentral:rRNA from 1 species
GAUGAACGCUGGCGGCGUGCUUAACACAUGCAAGUCGAACGAAGCACCUCUCCCGAAGAUUGACACAGCUUGCUGUAGAUUGAUUCAUUUGAGGUGACUGAGUGGCGGACGGGUGAGUAACGCGUGGGUAACCUGCCUCAUAGAGGGGGACAACAGUUGGAAACGACUGCUAAUACCGCAUAGUAAGAAGAAUUCGCAUGUUUUCUUCUUGAAAGAUUUAUCGCUAUGAGAUGGACCCGCGUCUGAUUAGCUAGUUGGUAAGGUAACGGCUUACCAAGGCGACGAUCAGUAGCCGGCUUGAGAGAGUGAACGGCCACAUUGGGACUGAGACACGGCCCAAACUCCUACGGGAGGCAGCAGUGGGGAAUAUUGCACAAUGGGGGAAACCCUGAUGCAGCGACGCCGCGUGAGUGAAGAAGUAUUUCGGUAUGUAAAGCCCUAUCAGCAGGGAAGAUAAUGACGGUACCUGACUAAGAAGCCCCGGCUAACUACGUG